rnacentral:rRNA from 1 species
UACGGGGGGGCAAGCGUUGUUCGGAAUUACUGGGCGUAAAGGCCAGUAGGCGGCCAACUAAGUCGGAUGUGAAAUCCCCAGGCUCAACUUGGGAACUGCAUCCGAUACUGGAUGGCUUGAAUUCGGGAGAGGGAUGCAGAAUUCCAGGUGUAGCGGUGAAAUGCGUAGAUAUCUGGAGGAAUACCGGUGGCGAAGGCGGCAUCCUGGACCGACAUUGACGCUGAACGGCGAAAGCUAGGGGAGCAAACGGG